rnacentral:lncRNA from 1 species
CUAAGUAGGCAUUAGAUCAGUAGGUUGAGUUAGCGUUGGAAUAAGGGUGGGGGUUAAAUAUGGAUAAUAUUUCUCAAAAAUGCAGUUAUUUCAUGUUCAAGCAUAUGCCAUCUGUGCAGGGUGUUUGAUAGCCUUGUAAACACAGAAGGGAUUUUGUUGUGUCUGUGAUUCAUCUACAAGUGAAUUAAUGUUUUAGAAUGGGAAGCACAGCUCAACAGCCAGGGGAAGUGGAGAAGAGUGUGUAGCCCUGGCCUGGAUGUUCAGGCGGAGGGAGAUCGGUACAGGUGGGACUCAAGCUGUCUGAACAGUGCCUCCAGUGUGUGGGUCAGAGAAGGGGCAGGCCACAUUUGCCUCUAUUCAUCCAUGGAUCCCAAGCAUCCCGACAGAAGGGGUCCCAGGGGCAGCGGCAGAGCCCAAGACUGCCCAGCCUUGUGUGAGUGGGGACAGACCGUGACAAAAGGAGGCUCUUCUCCGACAAAACCUCCGCUCCCUUCACCCCAUUUUCUUCUGCGCCUGAGCCUGAAAGAAGCAUAACCGCUUGAAAUGUUCUUCUUGCGCCGUAUGAAAGGCAGCAUCAACUCCUGCACAGGGAGCUGCUGAAGCAGCAGCCUGGUGCUAGCGGAAGGCAGCUGAGCAGAAACCCCUGCUGUGCACCUGAAAGAGAAGCAGGGCAUCUUUACUUGCCCUGGCCAGCAGCCUGUUGUGCAUUAAACCUUACAGCUUUGGCUGUUUUCAGUAGUUUAUUGCUUUAAGAAGAGAUUGGAUGUGCAUUUAUGUAAACACAGGCAUGCACUUGUCCUGUGGAUUGAAAAAUAAGUCAAAAACAAUGCUUUGAAAACAAGCAGCCACCCCAAAAUAACAGUCUCUUGGAGUCUCCGUGAGUGUCAGAGCUUACGGCAUGACAUUGCACCAGAGCAAACAACAAGACAGAUGACAAAAAGCCUACUCACCAUGUCUUAGCCCUGAGCAGAAAUCCUCUCUCCUAGCCCUGCUAUGAGGCUGGUCUUUAUCCAGAGGAUCCGGUGAUGCUUUUCAGAAUCAGAGGGGCUGGACCACUGCUGUUCUCCAGUGCUACUCUCCACCCCCCUGCCUUUUCCUCCUCCUUCUUUCAUACCCACCCCUUCAUUCCUCCUGCUUGCAGCUUUCCAUACCUUAUAUAGAUUCCAGGCUUCCACAUGUAGCUUAAUUUAGGAAAGAUGCAUAUUUCAGCCAUCUGCUUG